AGGUGCGAUCAUACCAGCACUAAUGCACCGGAUCCCAUCACAACUCUGAAGUGAAGCGUACUUCGGCGAGAGUAGUACUAGAAUGGGUGACCUCCUGGGAAGUCCUCGUGUUGCACCUC
rnacentral:rRNA from 2 species